ACAUUUUUCGGGAACUAUAUAUAUAUAUAUAUAAAGUGAGGAACAAUGUCCCAACAUCAAACAUUCCAACAGUCCUAAAAUUGUGCCACACAAAUACACCUGUUUCUUCAACUCACUCUCUAACGUGCGAAAUCAAAUGAGACACCUACAGGUAUUGAUUGGUUUGGCCUCUUUAUUGGUGGCUUACCCCUCGAGUGCGUCUCUAAGGCCUCUCAGAGGACACGGGUUCCCCGACCAUCAAGCCACCAAUCGCUUCAAAAGGUCCCUGGAGGAUAGAUUAAAUACCGAUGACCUUGCCCUUCUAUCCGCCGGCUCAGAGGGCAAUUUUAUUGGCAAACGGUCCGCUAAUUCAAAUGCCCCACAAAGUAUAAACUUGGAGACCCUGAGGGUUCUGACCAGAAGGUCGGCCGAGCCCGUUGCUCCUUAUCGCGGCCACAGUUUCCGGCGAAAUUCUUCGAUUCGACAAAGGCCGAUCAGGACCCGCUCUCGGUUUUAUCGCACCCGGGGAAAUCCCAACCGUGUGUCACCCUCGGGUUAGGAUAUAUUCAGCCCGCCAAACAUCGAUCAAAAGGCCUUGAUUGGCCUUGACAGAUUCAAUCAGGUUUUCAAGGAGCUCCUUGCGUCAGAUACGACUCCAAGAUUUUGACUAGGCCAGACUUAAACUGUUCAUUGCGUUAUACUCUUGUGGAAGAGUAAUUUAUCAAAAGAAAUAAACAAAUAAUUUCAAAAUA